AAAAAGACAGUUUUUAAAAAUUUUCAUUUAAUAAGUGUUAUCACCAAGUACAAUUGGAGUGCUAUUUAAAAAAUACCAAAAUCUGAUGAUUUGCAAAAACACUGCAGCUAUCUACAAAGUGGUCCAUUCCUAUGUCUUACAUACACACUAAAUGCAUACACACCUCACACCCUGUACAAAAUAUUAAGCCCCAAAUUACCAAAUUGUGAGUUAGUGAUUUCUUUUUCUUAGUAUUUAUUUAUUUUUGUAGAGUGGGUAAUUCCUACCAAUAAGUAGUAGGGCCACAUGGAAAAGAAAAUAUAUAUAUAUACAUGAGAAUAAAUUGUCAAUCUUACAAAAUUGUAUUUUUUUUCAAAGUGAUUUUAUAAAAAUAGGGUCCGUUACUGUCCA